AACGUAGGAGGCAAGCGUUAUCCGGAUUUACUGGGCGUAAAGCGUGUGCAGGCGGUUUGAUAAGUUGUGCGUGAAAGCUUCAGGCUAAACCUGAGGAGGCCGUGCAAGACUGUGAAACUAGAAUCCAUCAGAGGCAAGCAGAAUUCCAGGUGUAGUGGUGAAAUGCGUAGAGAUCUGGAGGAAUACCAGAGGCGAAGGCGGCUUGCUGGGGUGGAAUUGACGCUCAGACACGAAAGCAUGGGGAGCGAACGGG
rnacentral:rRNA from 1 species